rnacentral:rRNA from 14 species
UGCGUUCUAUUAGCUAGAUGGUGUGGUAACGGCACACCAUGGCGACGAUAGAUAGGGGCCCUGAGAGGGGGAUCCCCCACACUGGUACUGAGACACGGACCAGACUCCUACGGGAGGCAGCAGUGAGGAAUAUUGGACAAUGGGCGAGAGCCUGAUCCAGCCAUGCCGCGUGCAGGAAGACUGCCCUAUGGGUUGUAAACUGCUUUUAUAUAGGAAGAAACCUAUCCACGUGUGGGUAGCUGACGGUACUAUAAGAAUAAGGAUCGGCUAACUCCGUGCCAGCAGCCGCGGUAAUACGGAGGAUCCAAGCGUUAUCCGGAAUCAUUGGGUUUAAAGGGUCCGUAGGUGGAUAAUUAAGUCAGAGGUGAAAUCCUGCAGCUCAACUGUAGAAUUGCCUUUGAUACUGGUUAUCUUGAAUUAUUGUGAAGUGGUUAGAAUAUGUAGUGUAGCGGUGAAAUGCAUAGAUAUUACAUAGAAUACCAAUUGCGAAGGCAGAUCACUAACAAUAUAUUGACACUGAUGGACGAAAGCGUGGGGAGCGAACAGGAUUAGAUACCCUGGUAGUCCACACCGUAAACGAUGAAUGCCAGACGUCGGGGGGCUUGCCCUUCGGUGUCACACCUAACGGAUUAAGCAUUCCGCCUGGGGAGUACGGUCGCAAGAUUAAAACUC